UGAUUGGGACCAGGAAGCCAUCUAAUGUUCCUGGACAUUGGAAAAGUGUACAAGAACUUGGAUGGCAAAGUGUUUGCGUGGGCUGGAGAAGGCCACAGCGACUGGCCUUUUUCUCCACUCAGGUCCAGUAAGGGAGGAAAACAGCUUCUGUAAAUCAUACAAAAUAAAGCAUCCUAAAGGGGGAAAAAAACUUCUGAGAUUUCUCAAGGGAGAAAGACAGAAGGAACAGCAUUAGCGUUGGCUGCCCCACUGGAAAAUGUCUGAACCAUGUGGAAACAAAAACACAGCAACAUGCCAUAGCAGAUGAAAAAUAGUUCCUGGAAUAUAACUUCCUUCCUUCCCUCCUUCCUUCUUUCAUUCCUUCCCUCCCUUCUUCUCUUCUUUCUCUUUUUCCUCUUUUCACUUUUCCUUCCAUAUCUUGGAUCAAUCAAGGUAUGAAUCACUUGGUAUCAGCAAUGGCAUUCUAUUGCUACACAUCCAGAGGUUGGCACAGCUCCUAGAAACCUCACCACCCCCGGGACCACCUCAACUGGCUCAUUGGAAGCACCAGAGUCUCCCUGCCCAACUGGAAGGAGAUCCCUGGUUGCAUCAUAUCUGCCUCCACCAAUCAGAGGCCUGGAAAAUACAGCCUGGUUUCUUGAUGGUGGCCAAUCAGGGGAAAGGAAGGGAGGUUCAAAACGUUAUAAUGUUAAUGCACGAAACCUCAUGUGUAUAAAAAUGCCUACUUUAUUAUUAUGCUUUGCAUUUGUACCCUGGUGAGAUUCUUCAUUUUCAUUCUGGAACAUCCACAGUUAGCAAAGCUUGCCAGGCAUCCCUCGGUAUCUGUGGGCCUUUGAAAAACUUCACAUUUCCGGCAUCAAUAUUAUUACUUAUCAGGACAGUCCAGGAACACAAUAGAAGAAUUAAUGCUUUCUGUGUUGGUACGGCUGUACCAGAAGCUCCAACUUUAUUUUCUUUCUGCUAAUGUCUGCAGUCAUGGGGCAGACCGCCUGUCCAUCAUCAUUAAGUUUGGUUCCGCCCCUUGUUCAGGGCUCUGGGAGGGAAGGAGACAUUUUUAAGUCAGUCUCACUUAAGGAAGCUAAGCUAUAGGACGUAGACCAGCUCGUCCCGUAGAAAAGCUUCCUAUCUCAAGAACAUCCGGGGAUAUAGAACAUCCGGGGAAUCAGAAACAGAAAUUCCAGGGGAAAGGUCCCAAAGGUUCUGGCUAAGAGCUCACAGCCCCUCAGCCUCACAGCUCCUGAGGGAAACAGCCCUAAAGUUUCCAAAGAAACCUCGGAGAGGGAACAGCACCACAGAUCCACCCAACCCCAGCUGAAACAUCUGCAAGCCUUGGUUGGUAGGUCCACUCGAUACCCAGACGCAUUUGGAAUCGGUAGUGGGUCCCACAUCAGCUAGGCCCAUAUAAUAGACAGCCUGGGAGAGGUCAUAAGGGGGUUUUCUUCUUAUAGAGAAAGCACAGUUAUCCAAAGCCAAUUGUCUGUUCCCUGGGAACAAGACUGAAAGGGCCAACAGUUUAUUAAGGAAACCUUGAAGUGUUAUUUGAUUCCUUGAAGAUUUAUUAUUUGUUCAAUAAUAAAGACUUUGUUAUCUCAUUAAAGACUCAAAGGACUAUCCUUUUCAGGAAAAUCCUCUCUUUGAGGCGCCGUGGCUUCCCGCUGGGCAUAAAGUAUACGUCCUAUACAAAGACAAUAGGUACAGGCCCAGCGCGUGACAGAACACUUUCUAUUUCCACAAAUUUAUGUUCAAGACAGAACAUUUAGGUCUUUAUUUGUGUAACAUUGUGUCUC
rnacentral:lncRNA from 1 species